rnacentral:rRNA from 1 species
AGUGAACGCUGGCGGCGUGCUUAACACAUGCAAGUCGAACGAGAACGGAAUAUAGCUUACUAUAUUUGUCAGCUAAGUGGCGCACGGGUGAGUAAUGUAUAGAUAACCUGCCCUUAAGAAAGGAAUAACAGUUGGAAACGACUGCUAAUGCCCUAUAUGCCUUUAAUACAUAAGUAUGCAAGGGAAACGCUUUAGUGCUUAAGGAUGGGUCUGUAUGGUAUCAGCUUGUUGGUGAGGUAAUGGCUCACCAAGGCUAUGACGCCUAACUGGUUUGCGCGGAUGAUCAAUCACAUUGGAACUGAGACACGGUCCAGAAUCCUACGGGAGGCAGCAGUGGGGAAUAUUGAACAAUGGACGAAAGUCUGAUGCAGCAACGCCGCGUGGAGGAUGACACAUUUCGGUGCGUAAACUCCUUUUAUAUAGGAAGAUAAUGACGGUACUAUAUGAAUAAGCACCGGCGAACUCCGUGCAAGCCGCCGCCGUAA